GGAUGAAGAACGUAGCGAAAUGCGAUACUUGGUGUGAAUUGCAGAAUCCCGUGAACCAUCGAGUCUUUGAACGCAAGUUGCGCCCGAAGCCAUUAGGCCGAGGGCACGCCUGCCUGGGCGUCACACGUCGUUGCCCCCCCCAUCUACUCCUUCGGGAUUGCGGGGGGCGGAUGAUGGCCUCCCGUGUGCCUCGCCGCGCGGUUGGCAUAAAUGCCAAGUCCUCGGCGACGCACGCCACGACAAUCGGUGGUUGCGAAACCUCGGUUGCCCGUCGUGUGCGGUCGUCGCGCAUCGAGGGCUCGAAAAAAUUGCCGGGUUCCGGCUCGGCUUUCAACGCGACCCCAGGUCAGGCGGGGUUACCCGCUGAAUUUAAGCAUAUCAAUAAGCGGAGGA
rnacentral:misc_RNA from 1 species